AUUGAACGCUGGCGGCAGGCCUAACACAUGCAAGUCGAACGAGUGGCGGACGGGUGAGUAAUGUCUGGGAAACUGCCCGUUGGAGGGGGAUAACUACUGGAAACGGUUGCUAAUAGCGCAUACCAUCGGAUGUGCCCAGAUGGGAAUGGCUAGUAGGUGGGGUAACGGCUCACCUAGGCGACGAUCCCUAGCUGGUCUGCGAGGAUGACCGGCCACACUGGAACUGAGACACUGUCCAGACUCCUACGGGAGGCAGCAGUGGGGAAUAUUGCACAAUGGGCGCAAGCCUGAUGCAGCCAUGCCGCGGGUAUGAAGAAGGCCUUAGGGUUGUAAAGUACUUUCAGCGGGGAGGCGUUACCCGCAGAAGAAGCACCGGCUAACUCCGUGCCAGCCGCCGCGGUAAUUC
rnacentral:rRNA from 1 species